CAUUGCUAACAAAUCGUAUGUGCAUGUGCUGAAGAUAGUAUUGUUCAUGGUUGAACAGGCGCUGUGCGGGACUGAAAAGUACACUGUUCUGAUUGAUACUAUUUUCUGCCAUUUGAAUGCAGUGUGACCUAUUCCUCUGGAUGUGCUCAUUCUCCUGGUUUCAAUGUUUCCAACGAGACAAAAGUCAUCUCUCUCUCUCACAGGAUGAGCAGGAUCAAGCUCCUGCCACAUCACCAGAGUCAACAUAAGGGUCAGAUAGAUGGAGGCUCCGACACCAUCGGGAACUUGCUUUUCCUCCAGGUUUCUGCACUGAGACUGGAGAGACGAGGCUCCCGUUAAACCGGUUUUAGUCUGACAUACCUGGGCUGCCUGAAUCCUGCUGACCAAGUCAUGCAAUAUGCCUGUGAAGUUGCCUUCCAUACAUGGGUAGUAGUUACCCAUUCAGUUACAUUUAUCUGAGUAAUAUUUUGAAUAGAAAACACACCUGGCUUUGAAUCCAGAGUAAGAGUCAGGCUUUCAUUGCACAGUCUCAUGAAGAGGAUGUUCAGGAUUAUCAAUAAUUUUCUUGAUUUUAUGAAGAAUCCUUCUUUGUAUUGUCAUUUCCAGAGGUUCCACAGUCAACCACAGAGCUGUACAGAGCAGAACCAGAACAGAACCAGCCUUCUUUAGGCUGUUGAGUCUUUAGGUCCCUGCAUGGCUCAGAUGUUGUAUCAAGUUGCUUCCUCUGUGACCACAAGUAGGAUAAAAGGCAACUUUUAUAAGCCCAUUUAAAAUAUUCUGUAAAUAUAUAAAGAUUAGUUUUGUAGUCUAUUGUAUAACUUUAAUGUGUAAUUUUCACAGUUUUUUUAUUCGCGUUGAUCUGUCAGCAUAUGGCUCACAGAUCAACAGAUUCCAUGGCUACUGUGUUUUUGUUGUUGAAGCCUUGGGAUUUUGAAUUUGUUUAAAUUGCUUGAUUAGUCAAUGUUGUGUUUGUAUUUUGGUAGCGUUGUAGUAUUUUUAUUUCUCAUGAAAGUGCAUUUAUGUGUUGUAGGCUUGACCUCCUUUGUAAUCACCGUAACGGUUAUAACUGACAAAGAUCAAUGAGUAAAGUUUAAUAGUGUUGCGUGAACUGGGCUUUUUCAACAAGAAAACAGUUGUAACUGACAAACAGCGUUUACUGUGUGUUGUAGAUUGAAUGUUUUGUUCAGUUUGGUUUUGUUAAUUUAGGAUUAGAUUUUCUUCAUUUAUGUGCAUUUUGUUUUAUUUUAUGUGUGGAAACUAUGCAUG